GUGUCAGUGUUGUUUGUGUGUAUCAAUGUGUGUGUCAGUGUGUGUGUGUGUGUGGUUGUGUCAGUGUGUGUGUGUGGUUGUGUCAGUGUGUGUGUGUAGUUGUGUCAGUGUGUGUGUGUGUGUGCGUGUGUGUUGAUUAUGUAUCAGUGUGUGUGUGUGUGGUUGUGUCAGGGUGUGUGUGUGGUUGUGUCAGGGUGUGUGUGUGGUUGUGUCAGGGUGUGUGUGUGGUUGUGUCAGGGGGUGUUGGGUAAUGGGGAAAUAGACCAUGGGAGGUCUAUGAGUGUGUGUGUGUGAUUCUGAGAGAGCAGUGAGAGGGUGUGUGAUUGUGUGUGUGUGUGUGGUUGUGUCAGUGUGUGUGUGUAGUUGUGUCAGUGUGUGUGUGUGUGCGUGUGUGUUGAUUAUGUAUCAGUGUGUGUGUGUGGGUU
ensembl:lncRNA